CUGUUGCUAGGUCAAAUACAUGUCCCCCUGAUCCUUCUGUUGGACAUACUGUUUCUAGGUCAAAAACCUGUGCCCCGGACCCUUCUGUUGGACAUACUGUUGCUAGGUCAAAUACAUGUCCACCUGACCCUUCUGUUGGACAUACUGUUGCUAGGUGAAAUACAUGUCCCUACGACCCUUCUGUUGGACUUACUGUUGCUAGGUAAAAUACAUGUCCCCCUGACCCUUCUAUUGGACAUACUGUUGCUAGGUCAAAUACAUGUCCCCCGGACCCUUCUGUUGGACAUACUGUUGCUAGGUCAAAUACAUGUCCCCCUGACCCUUCUGUUGGACAUACUGUUGCUAGGUCAAAUACAUGUUCCCCGGACCCUUCUGUUGGACAUACUGUUGCUAGGUCAAAUACAUGUCCCCCUGACCCUUCUGUUGCUAGGUCAAAUACAUGUCCCCCUGACGCUUCUGUUGCUAGGUCAAAUACAUGUCCCCCUGACCCUUCUGAAGCUAGGUCAAAUACAUGUCCCCCUAACCCUUCUGUUGCUAGGUCAAAUACAUGUCCCCCGGACCCUUCUGUUGGACAUCCUGUUGCUAGGUCAAAUACAUGUCCCUCUGACCCUUCUGUUGCUAGGUCAAAUACAUGUCCCC
rnacentral:lncRNA from 1 species